CGAAAGCCGUAGGCGAUGGGAACUAGGUUAAUAUUCCUAGGCCAGGAGGAUGUGACGGAUCUCGAAGGUAGUUCAUCCUUAUUGGAUUGAAUGGGCUGCUGAGAGGUUCCUGGAAAUAGCCCCUCUAUAAGAUCGUACCCUAAACCGACACAGGUGGACUGGUAGAGAAUACCAAGGCGCUUGAGAGAACGAUCUUGAAGGAACUCGGCAAAAUACCUCCGUAAGUUCGCGAGAAGGAGGCCCGGUUUCUAGGCAACUGGAAGCUGGGGGCACAAACCAGGGGGUGGCGAC
rnacentral:rRNA from 1 species